UACGGAGGGGGCUAGCGUUGUUCGGAAUUACUGGGCGUAAAGCGCACGUAGGCGGCUUUGCAAGUUAGAGGUGAAAGCCCGGGGCUCAACCCCGGAAUUGCCUUUAAAACUGCAUCGCUAGAAUUGUGGAGAGGUAAGUGGAAUUCCGAGUGUAGAGGUGAAAUUCGUAGAUAUUCGGAAGAACACCAGUGGCGAAGGCGGCUCACUGGACCGGCAUUGACGCUGAGGUGCGAAAGCGUGGGGAGCAAACAGG
rnacentral:rRNA from 1 species